AUUGAACGCUGGCGGCAGGCUUAACACAUGCAAGUCGAGCGGGGUGAUGGUGCUUGCACUAUCACUUAGCGGCGGACGGGUGAGUAAUGCUUAGGAAUCUGCCUAUUAGUGGGGGACAACAUCUCGAAAGGGAUGCUAAUACCGCAUACGUCCUACGGGAGAAAGCAGGGGAUCACUUGUGACCUUGCGCUAAUAGAUGAGACUAAGUCGGAUUAGCUAGUUGGUGGGGUAAAGGCCUACCAAGGCGACGAUCUGUAGCGGGUCUGAGAGGAUGAUCCGCCACACUGGGACUGAGACACGGCCCAGACUCCUACGGGAGGCAGCAGUGGGGAAUAUUGGACAAUGGGGGGAACCCUGAUCCAGCCAUGCCGCGUGUGUGAAAAAGGCCUUAUGGUUGUAAAGCACUUUAAGCGAGGAGGAGGCUCUUUUGGUUAAUACCCAAGAUGAGUGGACGUUACUCGCAGAAUAAGCACCGGCUAACUCUGUGCCAGCCGCCGCCGUAA
rnacentral:rRNA from 1 species